ACACACACACACACACACACACACACACACACACACACACACACACACACACACACACUUUUUAUUAAUCCUUAACUGCUUUUAUACUUUUACAGAAAUGGUAGAUCAGCGCACGGCAGAUUAACCCUUCAUCUCACUGCAGUAAUCUUGGAAGAAUGGUCAUGGACAUUAGAAUCUUGCAUGACUUGUCUGAUCUGAAAGAGACCAGGUUUGGUCAGCCGCCUCCCAGACACGGUCUGAUCUUGUUGUGGUGGUUUGCUCAUGAUUGUGUUCGGAUUGACUCUAACGGUCGUAUGAUUGCACAGUACAACCCUGAAAAUGGAGCUUUUGGUUUCCACCGUUUCUAUAAUGGUGGUAGACUUCUUCCUUACACUAAUCUACCAUACUAUGAAGUGGGCAACCUGCACAAUGCUGCCUUACUGCCUUAUUAUGUCACUGAGAAUUACUCUGGAUAUUCAGACAACAGCAACAAAGAUCGCAUUAUUGUUUCCUUUGACUCAAGGUUGAACAGGUUCGACAGCAUUUAUGUGACACAGCACUCAGAUCAGACAAACUUUGACCAGAAUCACACUUACGACAUUAACAUUCGUCUUCUGAAGGAAAUUAAAACAUUGAACCGUGAACAUUUCUGCAGAGAAAUGAAAAAUAAUCAAUUACAUUCUCUUUCUUGGAUGUAUGUCCCUCAAAAGUCCAACAUACACUCACACUCUACAUCUUCACUUCAGUCACUGCAGGGUCAAAGGUUACACCAGUCUAGCUGGGAUUUCUGUGAUUGCAACUCUGAGCUGAUUUGCGCACUGAUUUGUGCACUGAUGCUUUUGUUUGCGGUUUUCUUCUUUCUUUUAAAAAUGGCAAACAAAAUUUAGUUAACUGCUGUGUAUUUUUCCAGCAAAUUUUUUUGGAUUGUAAAUCUGAAUACAUGUAAAUGCUUGACUUUAUAUAUUUACGAUGUUAAGCAUCACAUAUUUCUUUUAAAUGGUCACUGUAAUGAUAUUAAAAAAAAAACACAUUUAAAGGUACCAAAUGUAAAACUUGAUUUAUUAUUAA